CUCUUGGAUAACAACAGGACCGCCAGCUAUCCAGCACUGCAGUGCCCCAAGAUAUCUGGUAGACAUCUUCAUCUCAGUCAGCAAAGCCUCUCACCCGCUUUGCUCCAUCCCAUAUCACACUGCCAAAGGCUUCUCUCUGAGCCUGACAACAAUCUCUCUACCCAUCCAGUUUCCAAGACAUUCUAGACACUGAGACAUGUCAGCUCUUGACAGCACCAGAUUCCACUUCCAAGAAGAUGAUGAGCAUCAAGAAGCUCCAUUUGGAGAUUUCAUUUAUUGCAAGCUAGCCAUUGGGCAAAGAAAAUGACCUAACUUCAUCUGCAGAG
ensembl:lncRNA